AAUGCCUAGGAAUCUGCCUGGUAGUGGGGGAUAACGUCCGGAAACGGGCGCUAAUACCGCAUACGUCCUGAGGGAGAAAGUGGGGGAUCUUCGGACCUCACGCUAUCAGAUGAGCCUAGGUCGGAUUAGCUAGUUGGUGGGGUAAAGGCCUACCAAGGCGACGAUCCGUAACUGGUCUGAGAGGAUGAUCAGUCACACUGGAACUGAGACACGGUCCAGACUCCUACGGGAGGCAGCAGUGGGGAAUAUUGGACAAUGGGCGAAAGCCUGAUCCAGCCAUGCCGCGUGUGUGAAGAAGGUCUUCGGAUUGUAAAGCACUUUAAGUUGGGAGGAAGGGCAGUAAGUUAAUACCUUGCUGUUUUGACGUUACCAACAGAAUAAGCACCGGCUAACUUCGUGCCAGCAGCCGCGGUAAUACGAAGGGUGCAAGCGUUAAUCGGAAUUACUGGGCGUAAAGCGCGCGUAGGUGGUUCAGCAAGUUGGAUGUGAAAUCCCCGGGCUCAACCUGGGAACUGCAUCCAAAACUACUGAGCUAGAGUAC
rnacentral:rRNA from 1 species